CAAUCGCCGACUGGAGAGUCAUCACCUCGCGUGAUGCGCCGAAGGAGCAAAUCCGUUGCGACAGCGCAGCGGGUGAAUCUCUCAGGCACCAAGGACAGGGGGAGCGGC
rfam:Variovorax sp. WDL1 contig_594, whole genome shotgun sequence.